rnacentral:rRNA from 1 species
UACGAAGGGGGCUAGCGUUGUUCGGAUUUACUGGGCGUAAAGCGCACGUAGGCGGAUUGUUAAGUCAGGGGUGAAAUCCUGGAGCUCAACUCCAGAACUGCCUUUGAUACUGGCGAUCUUGAGUUCGGGAGAGGUGAGUGGAAUUCCGAGUGUAGAGGUGAAAUUCGUAGAUAUUCGGAAGAACACCAGUGGCGAAGGCGGCUCACUGGACCGGCAUUGACGCUGAGGUGCGAAAGCGUGGGGAGCAAACAGG